GCGAUUGAACUGUUUGAGGAGAUGGGGAAGAAAGACAUCAUCCCAAAAGCUUUCAGUUAUAACAUUAUGAUCAAAAUGUAUGUGGAUGAUAGGAACUGGGAGGAGGCAGAAAGAUGGUAUGUGAAAAUGGUGGAAAAUGGAUGUUAUCCGGAUUAUGCAACAUUUGAGAAGCUCAUUUCUUUUGCUUGUGACAAGGAUAAUCUUGAUUUUGCGCUUGAAUUGUGUAAGAAAGCUAUUGCUUCAAAAGUUGCUAUUCAUAAUGCAACAAUGCAGAGGGUAGUCAAUGUCUUGGCUGAGCAUUCCAAGCUUGAAGAUGCGCAGGAGCUGGUGAACUUGGCCAAAUCAUGUAAGCUAUACCACUGCCGACCCCGAUCGCGGUAUAAACUUUCGCUGCCUUCUUCUUUAAUAGUUGCACAUUUUAUGCUGUAGUUUACUUGCACUACUGUUUCUGCUGAACUAUGUUUUUAGGAUUUGUUGGUGAGUUUUAU
rnacentral:misc_RNA from 1 species